rnacentral:lncRNA from 1 species
UUAUUUUACAAUUCUAUAUAAUUAUACUAUGAACAUUUCGUCAAAAAUAAAUUAGGAUAAAAUCUAAGUCCUUCUACACUCUCAUCUCGACAAACUCCACCAACUUUUUCUGUCAACAGUAAUCUGAAAAAUAUCACAGAAAUAAUAAGUUUAACAUGUCUGGAAAUAUCUACCAUUCACAAAUUUUAAUUUGUAUCAUUUUGAUCAUGUUGAUUUGAUAAAAU